CUGCUGCAAUGACGUCGUCUCAGGGCAUGUUUAAUGGAAGCUCCACGGUGGAAAAGGUAUUAAUGGCAGGUGAUCCAGAAGCUUUGUGGACCAUUGGCCUAAUUGAAGGCAGUAGCAGAAGAGUUGAGAGAGGACAGAUGUGGGAGAGGACCAGGUGACUGACUGAAUGAAAGGGGAGAAAUAUCCAGUCUGUGGCCUGGAGAUUACAAAGCCGUAAUCAGAAAUACUGGUCAACUGAUCUGUGUAUUUUGUGAUGACAAAGUACAGCAGCCACCAAGAGAAAACACAUGGCCAUAUUGAAAAGAGAGAGGAAAAGUAGAUUUUCUGAAGAGCCAGUGAAAAGGAAGUUUCAGGGCUGCUGGGCACCGGGCAACAGGAGUCACCAUAUGGCCAUCCUAACAGUGGUCGCUAGCUCCACUGUAGUUUGUUCUCCCAAAGCACUCUACAAACUUAUAGUGGAAAUCAUCUCGGGAAUCAGUAGCAAUGUUCGUAUUGAUUUUGUUGUUGUUUUCAAUGUGAUUUUUUGGGCAUUAAAAGUUUUAAUUACAUAAAGA
rnacentral:lncRNA from 1 species